rnacentral:rRNA from 1 species
GAUGAACGCUGGCGGCGUGCCUAAUACAUGCAAGUCGAGCGAAUGGAUUAAGAGCUUGCUCUUAUGAAGUUAGCGGCGGACGGGUGAGUAACACGUGGGUAACCUGCCCAUAAGACUGGGAUAACUCCGGGAAACCGGGGCUAAUACCGGAUAACAUUUUGAACCGCAUGGUUCGAAAUUGGAAGGCGGCUUCGGCUGUCACUUAUGGAUGGACCCGCGUCGCAUUAGCUAGUUGGUGAGGUAACGGCUCACCAAGGCAACGAUGCGUAGCCGACCUGAGAGGGUGGUCGGCCACACUGGGACUGAGACACGGCCCAGACUCCUACGGGAGGCAGCAGUAGGGAAUCCUCCGCAAUGGACGAAAGUCUGACGGAGCAACGCCGCGUGAGUGAUGAAGGCUUUCGGGUCGUAAAACUCUGUUGUUAGGGAAGAACAAGUGCUAGUUGAAUAAGCUGGCACCUUGACGGUACCUAACCAGAAAGCCACGGCUAACUACGUGCCAGCCGCCGCAGUAA